GGCCAUAGCUCAGUGGUAUAGCAUUUGCUUAGUAUGCAGAAGAUCUCAUGUUCAGUCCCUAGCAUCUCCA